GGGGAUAGAUACCCGUCUAUUCAUGACAUAAACAAAACAGUCGAAUAUUACGAACCACAGUUUAAAAUUCAAAGAUUUUGGCGGUGUCUUAUAAAACCAGGGGAACCUGUCUCAUAACUCGAUAAUCCACGAUUACCCAACCCCCUUUUGAUAAACAGCUUGUGUACUGCCGUUGUAAGCACACCUUUAAAAGAAUUAGUGUGCUACUAUAACUAUAUAAAUACAUAGCUUAUACACAUCAGGUCAAAGUGCAGCUUAUGAGGGGGUGAUGAUGGGUUACAACCAUAAUAAAGAAUACGAAUUAGAAUAUAAAAACUUCUAUAAAGGUGGACUUGGAUGUAAUUAAAUAUAUUAAAACCAAAUGAAUUUUAAUCUAAGACAUGCACACAUCGCCCUCACUUUUCCACGGUA
rnacentral:rRNA from 1 species